ensembl:misc_RNA Metazoa_SRP Metazoan signal recognition particle RNA
GCUGGGCGCGGUGGCUCACGCCUGUAAUCCCAGCACUUUGGGAGGCUGAGGUGGGUGGAUCACCUGAGGUCAGGAGUUCGAGACCAGCCUGGCCAACAUGGUGAAACCCCGUCUCUA